AGACCCGAAACCCGGUGAUCUAGCCAUGGGCAGGUUGAAGGUUGGGUAACACUAACUGGAGGACCGAACCGACUAAUGUUGAAAAAUUAGCGGAUGACCUGUGGCUGGGGGUGAAAGGCCAAUCAAACCGGGAGAUAGCUGGUUCUCCCCGAAAGCUAUUUAGGUAGCGCCUCGUGAAUUCAUCUCCGGGGGUAGAGCACUGUUUCGGCUAGGGGGCCAUCCCGGCUUACCAACCCGAUGCAAACUGCGAAUACCGGAGAAUGUUAUCACGGGAGACACACGGCGGGUGCUAACGUCCGUCGUGAAGAGGGAAACAACCCAGACCGCCAGCUAAGGUCCCAAAGUCAUGGUUAAGUGGGAAACGAUGUGGGAAGGCCCAGACAGCCAGGAUGUUGGCUUAGAAGCAGCCAUCAUUUAAAGAAAGCGUAAUAGCUCACUGGUCGAGUCGGCCUGCGCGGAAGAUGUAACGGGGCUAAACCAUGCACCGAAGCUGCGGCAGCGACACUAUGUGUUGUUGGGUAGGGGAGCGUUCUGUAAGCCUGUGAAGGUGGCCUGUGAGGGUUGCUGGAGGUAUCAGAAGUGCGAAUGCUGACAUAAGUAACGAUAAAGCGGGUGAAAAGCCCGCUCGCCGGAAGACCAAGGGUUCCUGUCCAACGUUAAUCGGGGCAGGGUGAGUCGACCCCUAAGGCGAGGCCGAAAGGCGUAGUCGAUGGGAAACGGGUUAAUAUUCCCGUACUUGGUGUUACUGCGAAGGGGGGACGGAGAAGGCUAUGUUGGCCGGGCGACGGUUGUCCCGGUUUAAGCGUGUAGGCUGGUUUUCCAGGCAAAUCCGGAAAAUCAAGGCUGAGGCGUGAUGACGAGGCACUACGGUGCUGAAGCAACAAAUGCCCUGCUUCCAGGAAAAGCCUCUAAGCAUCAGGUAACACGAAAUCGUACCCCAAACCGACACAGGUGGUCAGGUAGAGAAUACCAAGGCGCUUGAGAGAACUCGGGUGAAGGAACUAGGCAAAAUGGUGCCGUAACUUCGGGAGAAGGCACGCUGACA
rnacentral:rRNA from 1 species